GGGACUGUUGUCUGGCCUUAUCUUGCUUCUACUCCAGUGUUUAGUACAGUGCUUGGCACCUAAGUACUAACAAAUACUGUCAAUAUUAUUAUGUCAAGCAUAACACAAGGCAACAAUGGAAGCUUUGUGCCCCGAAAACACUGAUGGUCAUAUUUGCCCGUAGUUUGCUCCUGGGCAUAUUAAGAUUUCAUUUAUUUCUUUAUCUCUGUCAUCAUAAUUUUAAGCAAAAUAGCUCCGAGCCAUAUUUUCCUUGGAAUGUCAACCUCUAGAGUUAUUUAAAAAAAAAAAAAAAAUUGUAAGAUUUUUACAGUGGAACAGAAAACUGUCUGUUAACUCCUCCUCUCUGCUAGGUUCAUUUCAGCUAAGACAAAUUGGAAAAAGGAAAAACGCUGUAAAGAACUGUGCUUCUUAUUUUCCCUAUUGCCAUCGAAAUACUGGGGUGAUGGGGUGGGUAUCUUGUUUAUUUCAUGGGAUUAGUUUGGCUUGUUUAAAUCUUAAAGUCUGGUAUUCUAAAUUUAUUUUGUAAGUGGAAUUGUAAGAUUGCCGAAGAUCUUAUUUCAUCACCAUUGGCUUUCUUUGCAGAUGAGAAUGGGGGUGAGGAAUUCAAAUGUCAGGUCAGAAAAUGAAUUAGCUCUCCAAGAAGCCCUCUAGCGAAAAUAUAGGCUUUACAUAAUGUGAACUAAAAUGAUUUAAAUUUCAAUCCGAUGUAAAUUAUUCAGAAAAGCUGGGCAGACCACAAUUGUGUAAAAGUAACUGAACUGAACGAAGAUGAAGUAAAUCAAUCUUGUAAGCUUCCAGUUUUCAAUCUGGAAGAUCAAACCAAGACCGGUCAAGUUCUGAAGAGUGAAACUUCUGCUUUCUAAGGUGGUGGGUGUUGAUUCUUCUAAUUAAUUACAGAAAGACGGUUCCUUAACUCGGAGGCAGUGAAGACGUCCUUGACCCUAAACCAAACUCCAGCUACUGAUGGUCACUCAAUCAACCCAUCAACGGGAACCACUGGAUGAUGCUGAGGAAAAGAUUCCGUGUGGGUUUUUUCAGGUUUAUAAACGAGGUGUACGUCGGGAGAUGAACGUAUUAGUCUUUUGAAAAUAGUAGAAAAAAUUUGAAUUUUAAAUUUCCAAGUGUAUGCUUUAUUUUUUAUUUAUUCACAUUCUGUGUCUGCCUCGCAAGAGUUUCUCUGGAAAUGUUUCCCCUUUCCUACGUUUGCAGAUGGGCAAUAGGUCCUAUGACCACUUGAUCCCUCUCCCCGCUCCUGAGAGCAUCCAAGGCAAUGUCGGAGCUAACCUGCUUAGCCCAAGACUCCAGCAGCAAUUCCCGCCACAACGAUUUCCAAGUCUCGGUUUUGAGGGAAAGGCUGAUGAUGAUAACAAUAAUGGUGGGAUUGGUUAAGUGUUUCCUAUGUGCCAAGCCCUGGGGUAGACACAAGAUAAUCAGACUGGACACAGCCCCUAACAGUACAACAGAGGUCUCUACUGGAGUAUGAAGAGUGAUGACCCAGGAGAUAAGCAGAAAACGUCAAGAAAUGCCAGUUACCUAAGCCACGUCCAAACUCUUUAUAGAGUGGGGAGAAAGGAAAUUACCCAGAAUCACCCUCAUUGGGAUGCUGCUUAAUGAGUUAAUUAGAGAAAAGUGAUUAAAAAAUUAAAGACUAAGGCUCUCAUCUGCAUCCGCAACAGCUAAUUUCUGAAAUCAGCCCUGGCCAUUAUUUUUUUUUCUCUCUGAGGCGCUAACCUGCAUUCCAGUCUGCCCGCACUCGAUUACAAGCAACGUGGCUCAGUGGAAAGAACAUG